CAUUGGUGACACUAGGGUUGGGCAUCGUUUGGAUUUUAACGAUUCUGAUUCCAAUUUCGAUUCUUCAUUUCGAUUUCGGUUCUUAUUGAUUCUUCUGAUUGAAACGGGUCACAUGCUUAUUUCACAAAUAAGAGGAUGGUUUUAUUUUGAUUCAACGGUGGGUUGCAGUUUUACCGGGCUUUGUCAACGCAAAAUAAAGCCACACUAGAGCGCCGCUGUGCUCCAUGACUGCAACACAACA